rnacentral:rRNA from 1 species
GUUAUAUGGUCAAGUGAAGAAGCGCAUACGGUGGAUGCCUUGGCAGUCAGAGGCGAUGAAAGACGUGGUAGCCUGCGAAAAGCUUCGGGGAGUCGGCAAACAGACUGUGAUCCGGAGAUAUCUGAAUGGGGGAACCCAGCCAUCAUAAGAUGGUUAUCUUGUACUGAAUACAUAGGUGCAAGAGGCGAACCAGGGGAACUGAAACAUCUAAGUACCCUGAGGAAAAGAAAUCAACCGAGAUUCCCUUAGUAGUGGCGAGCGAACGGGGACCAGCCCUUAAGUUGUAUUGAGAUUAGCGGAACGUUCUGGAAAGGACGGCCAUAGUGGGUGAUAGCCCUGUACGCGAAAAUCCCUUUGCAAUGAAAUCGAGUAGGACGGGGCACGAGAAACCUUGUCUGAAUAUGGGGGGACCAUCCUCCAAGGCUAAAUACUACUGACUGACCGAUAGUGAACCAGUACCGUGAGGGAAAGGCGAAAAGAACCGCGGAGAGCGGAGUGAAAUAGAUCCUGAAACCGUAUGCGUACAAGCAGUGGGAGCCCACUUUGUUGGGUGACUGCGUACCUUUUGUAUAAUGGGUCAGCGACUUAUUUUCAGUGGCGAGCUUAACCGAAUAGGGGAGGCGUAGCGAAAGCGAGUCUUAAUAGGGCGUCUAGUCGCUGGGAAUAGACCCGAAACCGGGCGAUCUAUCCAUGGGCAGGUUGAAGGUUGGGUAACACUAACUGGAGGACCGAACCGACUACCGUUGAAAAGUUAGCGGAUGACCUGUGGAUCGGAGUGAAAGGCUAAUCAAGCUCGGAGAUAGCUGGUUCUCCUCGAAAGCUAUUUAGGUAGCGCCUCAUGUAUCACUGUAGGGGGUAGAGCACUGUUUCGGCUAGGGGGUCAUCCCGACUUACCAAACCGAUGCAAACUCCGAAUACCUACAAGUGCCGAGCAUGGGAGACACACGGCGGGUGCUAACGUCCGUCGUGAAAAGGGAAACAACCCAGACCGUCAGCUAAGGUCCCAAAGUCAUGGUUAAGUGGGAAACGAUGUGGGAAGGCUUAGACAGCUAGGAGGUUGGCUUAGAAGCAGCCACCCUUUAAAGAAAGCGUAAUAGCUCACUAGUCGAGUCGGCCUGCGCGGAAGAUGUAACGGGGCUCAAACCAUGCACCGAAGCUACGGGUAUCAUCUUAUGAUGAUGCGGUAGAGGAGCGUUCUGUAAGCCUGUGAAGGUGAGUUGAGAAGCUUGCUGGAGGUAUCAGAAGUGCGAAUGCUGACAUGAGUAACGACAAUGGGUGUGAAAAACACCCACGCCGAAAGACCAAGGUUUCCUGCGCAACGUUAAUCGACGCAGGGUUAGUCGGUCCCUAAGGCGAGGCUGAAAAGCGUAGUCGAUGGAAAACAGGUUAAUAUUCCUGUACUUCUGGUUAUUGCGAUGGAGGGACGGAGAAGGCUAGGCCAGCCUGGCGUUGGUUGUCCAGGUUUAAGGUGGUAGGCUGAGAUCUUAGGUAAAUCCGGGAUCUUAAGGCCGAGAGCUGAUGACGAGUGUUCUUUUAGAACAUGAAGUGGUUGAUGCCAUGCUUCCAAGAAAAGCUUCUAAGCUUCAGGUAACCAGGAACCGUACCCCAAACCGACACAGGUGGUUGGGUAGAGAAUACCAAGGCGCUUGAGAGAACUCGGGUGAAGGAACUAGGCAAAAUGGCACCGUAACUUCGGGAGAAGGUGCGCCGGUGGAGGUGAAGCAUUUACUGCGUAAGCCCCUGCCGGUCGAAGAUACCAGGCCGCUGCGACUGUUUAUUAAAAACACAGCACUCUGCAAACACGAAAGUGGACGUAUAGGGUGUGACGCCUGCCCGGUGCCGGAAGGUUAAUUGAUGGGGUUAGCGCAAGCGAAGCUCUUGAUCGAAGCCCCGGUAAACGGCGGCCGUAACUAUAACGGUCCUAAGGUAGCGAAAUUCCUUGUCGGGUAAGUUCCGACCUGCACGAAUGGCGUAACGAUGGCGGCGCUGUCUCCACCCGAGACUCAGUGAAAUUGAAAUCGCUGUGAAGAUGCAGUGUAUCCGCGGCUAGACGGAAAGACCCCGUGAACCUUUACUAUAGCUUUGCACUGGACUUUGAAUUUGCUUGUGUAGGAUAGGUGGGAGGCUUUGAAGCGUGGACGCCAGUCUGCGUGGAGCCAACCUUGAAAUACCACCCUGGCAACUUUGAGGUUCUAACUCAGGUCCGUUAUCCGGAUCGAGGACAGUGUAUGGUGGGUAGUUUGACUGGGGCGGUCUCCUCCUAAAGAGUAACGGAGGAGUACGAAGGUGCGCUCAGACCGGUCGGAAAUCGGUCGUAGAGUAUAAAGGCAAAAGCGCGCUUGACUGCGAGACAGACACGUCGAGCAGGUACGAAAGUAGGUCUUAGUGAUCCGGUGGUUCUGUAUGGAAGGGCCAUCGCUCAACGGAUAAAAGGUACUCCGGGGAUAACAGGCUGAUACCGCCCAAGAGUUCAUAUCGACGGCGGUGUUUGGCACCUCGAUGUCGGCUCAUCACAUCCUGGGGCUGAAGCCGGUCCCAAGGGUAUGGCUGUUCGCCAUUUAAAGUGGUACGCGAGCUGGGUUUAGAACGUCGUGAGACAGUUCGGUCCCUAUCUGCCGUGGACGUUUGAGAUUUGAGAGGGGCUGCUCCUAGUACGAGAGGACCGGAGUGGACGAACCUCUGGUGUUCCGGUUGUCACGCCAGUGGCAUUGCCGGGUAGCUAUGUUCGGAAAAGAUAACCGCUGAAAGCAUCUAAGCGGGAAACUUGCCUCAAGAUGAGAUCUCACUGGAACCUUGAGUUCCCUAAAGGGCCGUCGAAGACUACGACGUUGAUAGGUUGGGUGUGUAAGCGCUGUGAGGCGUUGAGCUAACCAAUACUAAUUGCCCGUGAGGCUUGACCAUAUAACACCCAAGCAAUU